rnacentral:lncRNA from 1 species
GCACAUGAAGACAUCACUGUACCAAAAGCAUCCGACACCACAAUUACAUGUUCAGUAAGCCAGUAACUAAGAUAAACACUAGUUAACCGCGUGUCACCAAUUCAUUUCAGACUAACCUAUAUAUUAAGAUGUAAAAAAUACUUGGAUAAGAUAAAGCAUACGGUAUUGACAAUGGAGCAUAUAAUUCAGUUUCAAUUCAAAAUCUAAAAGUUGCGUCUUGAGCUAGGUCGAUCGGCUCGGCUGGGUGAAGAAGAGGUGGGGCGCGAAGGGAGGCCGCGGCCGCGCAGCGAUUUCCUCCCUUCCCUUGCUGAGGGCGGCCUUCCAGGCGUUGAUGUCGGAUGUGCUCAGAUUGUAUUGCGGGAGCUCCAACUCCGAUUCGAUAUUGUCGAACAGGACUAGAGCAUCUUCUCUAGUGAGCGCUACACGGACGAAGUCUGAGAUAUCGUCGUCGCGGUACGACGUGUCGGAGGUCACGGUGGUGUCUUCGUCGGAGCUCUCGACGAUGUCGUCGCCCUUCGCCGCGUCGGGGUAGCUCACGGUUUCAUUCUUGUUAAUGUCGUCCUCUACCGUGUCGGUGCUCUUGGAAGUCGACCGGCUCCGUUGGGGGAAGUAAAGGUGGGGCGCGAAGGGAGGCCGCGGCCGCGCAGCGAUUUCCGCCCUUCCCUUGCUGAGGGCGGCCUUCCAGGCGUUAAUGUCGGAUGUGCUCAGAUUGUAUUGCGGGAGCUCCAACUCCGAUUCGAUAUUGUCGAACAGGACUAGAGCAUCUUGUCUAGUGAGCGCUACACGGACGAAGUCUGAGAUAUCGUCGUCGUGGUACGACGUGUCGGAGGUCACGGUGGUGUCUUCGUCGGAGCUCUCGACGAUGUCGUCGCCCUUCGCCGCGUCGGGGUAGCUCACGGUUUCAUUCUUGUUAAUGUCGUCCUCUACCGCGUCGGUGCUCUUGGAAGUCGACCGGCUCCGUUGGGCGAAGUAGAGGUGGGGCGCGAAGGGAGGCCACGGCCGCGCAGCGAUUUCCGCCCUUCCCUUGCUGAGGGCGGCCUUCCAGGCGUUGAUGUCGGAUGUGCUUAGAUUGUAUUGCGGGAGCUCCAACUCCGAUUCGAUAUUGUCGAAUAGGACUAGAGCAUCUUCUCUAGUGAGCGCUACACGGACGAAGUCUGAGAUAUCGUCGUCGCGGUACGACGUGUCGGAGGUCACGGUGGUGUCUUCGUCGGAGCUCUCGACGAUGUCGUCGCCCUUCGCCGCGGCGGGGGGAGGUCAUGGUGGUGUCUUCGUCGGAGCUCUCGACGAUGUCGUCGCCCUUCGCCGCGUCGGGGUAGCUCACGGUUCCAUUCUUGUUAAUGUCGUCCUCUGCCGCGUCGGUGCUCUUGGAAGUCGAUCGGCUCCGUUGGGUGAAGUAGAGGUGGGGCGCGAAGGGAGGCCUCGGCCGCGCAGCGAUUUCCGCCCUUCCCUUGCUGAGGGCGGCCUUCCAGGCGUUAAUGUCGGAUGUGCUCAGAUUGUAUUGCGGGAGCUCCAACUCCGAUUCGAUAUUGUCGAACAGGACUAGAGCAUCUUCUCUAGUGAGCGCUACACGGACGAAGUCCGAGAUAACGCCAUCGCGGUACGACGUGUCGGAGGUCACGAUGGUGCCUUCGUCGGAGCUCUUGACGAUGUCGUCACCCUUCGCCGCGUCGGGGUAGCUUACAGUUUCAUUCUUGUUAAUGUUGUCCUCUGCCGCGUCGGUGCUCUUGGAAGUCGACCGGCUCCUUUGGGUAAAGUAGAGGUGGGGCGCGCAAGGAGGCCGCCACGUCGCUGUGGCUGUCAACCGGCGCUGCUGCGGAGCGGUAUUGUCUUCCGUGUAGUGGUGCAAGUCAUCCUCGUCUGAGAGCGAGAGCUCGUCGUCAGAGCUGCCGGUGUCGAUGUCGUCGUAGUUGAGCAGCCCCGCCGCGUAGGAGCUCCGAUCGGUGUCCAUGCUGGCGCAGUGGGCACAGAGGACGCGCUCUGGGCGCACGGUGCCGUCGCCGUCGCCGUCGUCCGCCGCGCCAAGGCCCACCGUGUCAGUGUCGGCGCCGUGGGUCCCGCUGUCGUCGGACCCAACGCUGCCCAAGCUUAGGAUGCUAGCCGCCAGAUCGAGAUCGAAGCAAUCUCCGUUGGCGCCGACGCUGCCUGCGAGGGCCGGGAGGUCGAGGUCGAAGCAGUCGUCGUCGUCAUCAUUGCACUCCUCCUGGUGGUCACCUUGAGUCUUGCCGCCGUCGGCCUUGGCAUGGCUUCGGCGGAGCUGAACCAUGGCGAAGCCCGUCUCGCUCUCCACGGAGCACACGGUCUCGGCGUCGCUGCCGCUGUCGCCGAGAAAGACCCAGUCCUCCAUGGCCGCCGUCGACUCCCGGCACGUAGUUCGCCUUCUCCUUUGUGUUGGCUGAUCGAAAUCGGUAGAACUCGUGUGCUGUUG